rnacentral:rRNA from 1 species
UACGAAGGGGGCUAGCGUUGUUCGGAAUUACUGGGCGUAAAGCGCACGUAGGCGGAUCCUUAAGUCAGGGGUGAAAUCCCCGGGCUCAACCCGGGAACUGCGUCCGAUACUGGAAGGCUUGAAUCCGGGAGAGGGAUGCGGAAUUCCAGGUGUAGCGGUGAAAUGCGUAGAUAUCUGGAGGAACACCGGUGGCGAAGGCGGUUGCCUGGAGCUUUGCUGACGCUGAUGCGCGAAAGCGUGGGGAGCGAUCCGG